rnacentral:sRNA from 1 species
UGCCAGUCUGCUCGGUGGGUGGUCGCCCGU